UUUCUGAAUGUUCUCAUUCGCCCAGAAAGGUAUCGAUCACGAGCUGCAGUUUAGGCUAGAUCUCGAGACCGGAGAACACGUUAUUUACCGUGUAACACGCGGCCCCUGCCAGAACGAGGCCCGUGCCUGGAGAAAUAGACACAAACUUCCAGACACGCCCGAGAUCACGUUGUUAAGAAGGCUGAUAAAAUAAGGAAUUUUUUGAGCCUACAAACGAAGUAUCGUUUUAUUUCUCCGAUUUUUGAAGUGUCUUGGUGCAGAUUUGACUAAAAGUCAAACAAUAGUAUCUUCUAAGUUAUUAUAAUCGUAGUAGUGAUAAAUGUUCUUUGACGGGGUUGCAGCAAUACACGUACUAUAACUGUCUUUAUCUCCAAACAUCUCUUUGAUUUAGUGACUUUAGCUUCUAUCCUAUAUCACUAAAAGCUUCACUGUCAGGUUAUUACAUCCUUCUUGACUGUUGUAAGAAUCACUACUGGUAAGUUUUCAUCCACUAGAUUCGUUUCGCGCAUGAUCACUCUAACUACAAUUAAUUAGAAACCGAUCUUUCAGACUUUUAAAGUACCUUUUUUCCAUACACUUAGAAACCGAUCUUUCAGACUUGCACAGUAGCUUUUACAUAAAUCACAUUCUUAGCUUCGUCGAAUAGACUCCGAAAACAUAAACUAAAAUGAGAGGUGAUUUCUGUGAUCAUUAAAACCUGUGAAAACUACACUCCUCUGUUAUGUAUUUAACCUUUUACUUAUGCACGGUUCAGAUUGGCCAUUGAGAGUCACGUGGCCAAUGGGGAGUGCCAAUUUAGAAUAAUGUUCUAUUAAAAGUUUUCCAGGAGUGCGCUACCGUCAUAAUUCAUCAAAAUUGCGUGGAAUAUUGGACACAAUUAUUUACUGUGCUACAAAUCACGGCGAAUAAAUGAGCUCGUAUCAGUUUGUCAACUGUUACGGCCAGCGAACGCAGGAGACGCCGGUCCAGGUUUACUACACCCCUCAGGUGCCGGCUUACAACAGUUGUUAUAGCGGCCCAGCGUCUCCUGUCCAGCACUAUGGACCUUAUUCUCAACCUACAGUUCCACACCUGCAGAAUGGGGAUCAAACGCAUUUUAAUAGUUGCAGUCAGCGUCUCAGCCACCCUAAUCCCAGCCCGAGUCCGACACUAUCGGUGACACCGGUGCCGAGCUGCAAGUACGCAGAACCCAGCGCGGCAUCACCGCAAGACCUGACUACGACUUCCAGUUCACAGCAGCCGUCUCCUUGCAGCCCCAAGCCGCGAAGUUCGCCUCAGCCUCCGCGGCCUACUCAGUCACAUUCAACCAGUGGACACUCUCCAGGUCAACAACAGAGUUCACAAUUACAACAGAAUCAACCAACAGAAAAAAGCCAACAGAAAGGGAGUGAGUCAACAAAUCAGCCUCAUAUUUACCCUUGGAUGACUAAAACACACGUCGGACAGAAUGGAGUAAAUGCGAUGGGUGAAACGAAACGUCAAAGAACAUCGUAUACUCGCUACCAAACCUUGGAAUUAGAAAAAGAAUUUCAUUUCAAUCGUUAUUUGACUCGACGCAGAAGAAUAGAGAUCGCCCACGCCCUCUGUCUCAGUGAACGACAGAUUAAAAUCUGGUUCCAAAAUCGAAGAAUGAAGUGGAAAAAGGAGCACAAAAUGGCCAACUCAGUUCCUCCACAGAUUCCUCAUCACCAGGUUAUGGUUAACACAGUUCAUGGCUUGAGGGAUUACACGUAUAAUAACAGUGUUUAUUAAACAGUUGUAAGUUCAUGGUUUGAAGGAUUACACGUAUAGUAAUAACAGUGUUUAUUAAACAGUUGUAAGUUAAUGGCUUGAAGGAUUACACGUAUAGUAAUAACAGUGUUUAUUAAACAGUUGUAAGUUCAUGGCUUGAAGGAUUACACGUAUAAUAACAGUGUUUAUUAAACAGUUGCGUUUGCCUGUUCCCCAUUCCACCCACUCCUGCUGGACCUAGUGUCGGAAGAAACUGACUUCCAGAUUUGACACCACCAUCACAUUCUUUGCUGAACAUGCGUUGUUAAUUCGUGUUUGUUACGGUUUCUUGUUUACACCGUAAACAUGUGUUGAGUCAUUUGCAUCCGUAAACCACAGAUGUACUGAAGGUGGGGGUGUUCUUAAUAUUUAAUAACAAGAUUAUUAAUUUACACGUUUUUCCUUACUGAUCUACCAUCAACAAUGAUAUUUUAAUUAAUCGUCUCGUGAUGAUUUAAAAGCUUUAUCAAAAUGAUGAAACUAGGUUUAACAGUUUUUUUAUUGAGAGAGUUUCUGGUGAAUCUUAGUAGACUCUGAAGAAGACGUUUGGAGAAAUUUUUUUUUUUUCUGCCGUAAAGGAACAUCUAUGGCAAGAAAGUAAUUGAACUUUCUAUAAAGUCAGCUGUAGUGUUUUAAAGCAAUGACUCUCUAGUAAUACACAGUUUGUUUUCGCUCUUACAGUCCAUUUGUUAUGUUCGUCAUAGCUCUUAAAGUCCGUUUGAUAUGUUUGUCAUAGCUCUUGCAGUCCAUUUGAUAUGUUUGUCAUAGCUCUUACAGUCCAUUUGAUAUGUUCGUAUUAGCUCUUACAGUUCGUUUGUUAUGUUUGUCAUAGCUCUUACAGUCCAUUUGAUAUGUUCGUAUUAGCUCUUACAGUCCAUUUGGAUAUGUUUGUCAUAGCUCUUACAGUCCGUUUGUUAUGUUUGUCAUAGCUCUUACAGUCCAUUUGUUAUGUUUGUCAUAGCUCUUACAGUCCGUUUGUUAUGUUUGUCAUAGCUCUUAAAGUCCAUUUGAUAUGUUCGUAUUAGCUCUUACAGUCCAUUUGUUAUGUUCGUCAUAGCUCUUACAGUCCACUUGUUAUAUUUGUCAUAGCUCUUAAAGUCCGUUUGAUAUGUUUGUCAUAGCUCUUGCAGUCCAUUUGAUGUGUUUGUCAUAGCUCUUACAGUCCGUUUGUUAUGUUUGUCAUAGCUCUUGCAGUCCAUUUGAUGUGUUUGUCAUAGCUCUUACAGUCCGUUUGUUAUGUUUGCCAUAGCUCUUACAGUCCAUUUGAUAUGUUCGUCAUAGCUCUUACAGUUCAUUUGUUAUGUUCGUCAUAGCUCUUACAGUCCAUUUGAUGUGUUUGUCAUAGCUCUUACAGUCCAUUUGAUAUGUUCGUAUUAGCUCUUACAGUCCGUUUGUUAUGUUUGUCAUAGCUCUCUUACAGUCCAUUUGAUAUGUUUAUCAUAGCUCUUACAGUUCGUUUGUUAUGUUUGUCAUAGCUCUUACAGUCCGUUUGUUAUGUUUGUCAUAGCUCUUGCAGUCCAUUUGUUAUGUUUGUCAUAGCUCUUGCAGUCCAUUUGUUAUGUUUGUCAUAGCUCUUACAGUCCAUUUGAUAUGUUUGUCAUAGCUUUUACAGUCCAUUUGAUAUGUUUGUCAUAGCUCUUACAGUCACACCGUAUUUCCCGAUACUGUAGCCCCGCUGAAAUCCAGAGUUCGAUUCCUGGUGAUGGACACAGCAGGUAGCCCAAUGUGACUUUACCGAUACAAUAGUCAGUUUCAGUUGUUGAUGUAAAAGUACUGUUUUGUUCUAUUGGUAACGUCAGGCUUGGAACGUGCACGUGCAUAUCUCAGGGCUGCGUGAAUUUCUAACACUACACUCUCUUUAACGAUUAUUUGAUUCUUCGGUCACACACACAUUCACACUGGUAUGGUGUCCCUCUAGUGACUGGACGCGAAACUUUUCCAUUACUCUUAUAGGAAACGGUUGGUUUACCACCAGUUGCUGCCUUUUACUCUAGCGUAAUGCACUACUCUCUUGGAAAAUAAUUCGAGAGUCCUCUAACUAUUUUUUGAAUGUCAGAGAUUAACGGUAUAUUUUCUUUAUUUCAUUCCAAUCUUUGUUCUCACCUUGAACAAGAAUGGAAUGGAGACUUCGUUGUUUUUUUUCUUCUUCUUAUCAUUCUUUUUAAAACUUCUAAUCUUUAUCGUAUUCGGGUACGUGCAAUCUAUAAUAACCCGUGCACUCUUUGUACAGUUUCAUUAAGAUCUGAAUAGUUUGUUUUGUUUUUAACGUUAUUUUGUGAGAGAUUGACAUUUAUUAAACACAGAAAUAAGCCGGUGUUCACGUAUGUAAAUAAUGUAAGAGUGAAACAAGGGUAUUGUGAUGUAUUGUUGUCCAAAUGUAGGCUUAGUUCACGU